UACCAGCACCUCGAGUGGUCAGGACGUUUAUUGGGCCUAAAGCAUCCGUAGCCGGCUUUGCAAGUCUUCGGUUAAAUCCACCUGCUCAACAGAUGGGCCGCUGGAGAUACUACAAAGCUAGGGAGUGGGAGAGGCAGACGGUAUUCAGUGGGUAGGGGUAAAAUCCUCUGAUCCAUUGAGGACCACCAGUGGCGAAGGCGGUCUCUUGGGGCAUUCUUGACGCUGAGGCGCGAAAGCUGGGGGAGCGAACGGG
rnacentral:rRNA from 1 species